rnacentral:rRNA from 1 species
GUCCACGCCGUAAACGGUGGGCACUAGGUGUGGGCCACAUUCCACGUGGUCCGUGCCGCAGCUAACGCAUUAAGUGCCCCGCCUGGGGAGUACGGCCGCAAGGCUAAAACUCAAAGGAAUUGACGGGGGCCCGCACAAGCGGCGGAGCAUGUGGCUUAAUUCGACGCAACGCGAAGAACCUUACCAAGGCUUGACAUACACCGGAAACACUCAGAUAUGGGUGCCCCCUUGUGGUCGGUGUACAGGUGGUGCAUGGCUGUCGU